GACGAACGCUGGCGGCGUGCUUAACACAUGCAAGUCGAACGGUAAGGCCCUUCGGGGUACACGAGUGGCGAACGGGUGAGUAACACGUGGGUGAUCUGCCCUGCACUUCGGGAUAAGCCUGGGAAACUGGGUCUAAUACCGGAUAGGACCACUGCCUGCAUGGGUGGUGGUGGAAAGCUUUUGCGGUGUGGGAUGGGCCCGCGGCCUAUCAGGUUGUUGGUGGGGUGAUGGCCUACCAAGGCGACGACGGGUAGCCGGCCUGAGAGGGUGACCGGCCACACUGGGACUGAGAUACAGCCCAGACUCCUACGGGAGGCAGGAGUGGGGAAUAUUGCACAAUGGGCGCAAGCCUGAUGCAGCGACGCCGCGUGAGGGAUGACGGCCUUCGGGUUGUAAACCUCUUUCAGCACCGACGAAGCGCAAGUGACGGUAGGUGCAGAAGAAGGACCGGCCAACUACGUGCCAGCAGCCGCCGUAA
rnacentral:rRNA from 1 species